rnacentral:lncRNA from 1 species
UAGUAUCCGCAAAGCAACCGAAGCUUAGGAAAAACACAAAACAAACAACGAAAAACAAGAAAAGAAUAAGAAAAACAAAACAAGAAAAACAUAAACAAACCAACGGUGGGUUGCCUCCCACCAAGCGCUAGAGUUAGAGUCGCCAGCCCGACGUAGAGGAUCCCUUAACCAAAAUCGCUAUGAAACGUCAGCUGACUUAGUCCUCGUGAAAGCACAUCAUCC